rnacentral:rRNA from 1 species
GCAAGUCGUACGAGAACGGUUGGCUUCGGUUGACCUAGUAAAGUGGCGCACGGGUGAGUAACCCGUGGGAAAUCUACCCUUAGAUUUGGGAUAACGAUUCGAAAGGAGCGCUAAUACCGAAUAAGUCCACAGCUGCCACGGCGGCAGUGGCCAAAGCGGGCCUCUAUUUAUAAGCUCGCGUCUAAGGAUGAGCUCGCGUCCCAUUAGCUUGUUGGUGAGGUAACGGCUCACCAAGGCCGCGAUGGGUAGCUGAUCUGAGAGGAUGAUC